UCUCUCGUAGCUUAGUGGUCAGAGUAUUGGUGCGUAAAGUCAAAGGUCCCGGGAUUGAUUCCCAGCGCGGGUG
rnacentral:tRNA from 1 species